UUUUUAUUUGAGAGAACAGAACCACUCUCACUCCUCUUCUUCCUCCUCGACUGCUACUGCUCUCUCUUCUACACACAGAUUCACCACCGCUCCAUCACCAGAUCCAUCUCAACUAUUUUCUUCUUCUUCUUUGAAGCACCGAACGACCAUGCAAGAUUCAUUCUUUUGGUUAGAAGGAAUCAACAAUUGUAGCAGCGGAACCAGAUGUGUUGUUCAAAUCAGAUUUUAAUGGUUGAAAUCACUCAUAAGUGUGAAAUAACAAGAAAGUUUCUAAUCAAGGGUUUUGAGACUUCAAUCUGGACACAAGUACUUAUUGGGAAGACUAUCAUCCGAGGUUGGAUAGAUUCACGUUGAUACCAUCAAGUCUGGUUAUUGUAAACCACCACAAGAAUGUGGCUAGCUUUGUAUGGAAGUCUGCAACAGUUGCUACCACCACUUCAGCAAAGCCCUGAUUGUUGGAAACCUGCUCCUGCACUUUUGUUUUGACUGUAAAUCUUGCAAGGCAGGACAUUUUGCGAACUUAAAGAAUGACUAGAUGAAAGUUGUUGUCCUGAAUAUCAUUUGAUCAAGCACUUCUGUUGUAUUUGAUAUUUUAAAAAUUGACAUGUGUAUUUGUAACUCAUCUUUAGUAAAAUAAGAAAGAAAAUUCUGUGA